CAGGCUAACACAUGCAAGUCGAGCGGAAACGAGUUAUCUGAACCUUCGGGGAACGAUAACGGCGUCGAGCGGCGGACGGGUGAGUAAUGCCUAGGAAAUUGCCCUGAUGUGGGGGAUAACCAUUGGAAACGAUGGCUAAUACCGCAUAAUGCCUACGGGCCAAAGAGGGGGACCUUCGGGCCUCUCGCGUCAGGAUAUGCCUAGGUGGGAUUAGCUAGUUGGUGAGGUAAUGGCUCACCAAGGCGACGAUCCCUAGCUGGUCUGAGAGGAUGAUCAGCCACACUGGAACUGAGACACGGUCCAGACUCCUACGGGAGGCAGCAGUGGGGAAUAUUGCACAAUGGGCGCAAGCCUGAUGCAGCCAUGCCGCGUGUGUGAAGAAGGCCUUCGGGUUGUAAAGCACUUUCAGUCGUGAGGAAGGUAGUGUAGUUAAUAGCUGCAUUAUUUGACGUUAGCGACAGAAGAAGCACCGGCUAACUCCGUGCCAGCAGCCGCGGUAAUACGGAGGGUGCGAGCGUUAAUCGGAAUUACUGGGCGUAAAGCGCAUGCAGGUGGUUUGUUAAGUCAGAUGUGAAAGCCCGGGGCUCAACCUCGGAAUUGCAUUUGAAACUGGCAGACUAGAGUACUGUAGAGGGGGGUAGAAUUUCAGGUGUAGCGGUGAAAUGCGUAGAGAUCUGAAGGAAUACCGGUGGCGAAGGCGGCCCCCUGGACAGAUACUGACACUCAGAUGCGAAAGCGUGGGGAGCAAACAGGAUUAGAUACCCUGGUAGUCCACGCCGUAAACGAUGUCUACUUGGAGGUUGUGGCCUUGAGCCGUGGCUUUCGGAGCUAACGCGUUAAGUAGACCGCCUGGGGAGUACGGUCGCAAGAUA
rnacentral:rRNA from 1 species